CCAUUUACCGGGCGCCGGGACCUGGGCGAUCACGGACACCCUGACCCGAGGUGGACGCUCGCCCUUGCACUCCAGCGGAUUAAAGCCUGCGACGACCCCUAAUCGGGCUCGUAGUUUUUGGGCUGUGGUGGCCAAGUGGUUAGAUCACCAA
rnacentral:snRNA from 13 species